ACCAGACUUCAGUUCGGCAUUGUAACAGACUUCAGUGAGAAAAUUCUCACCUUCGAUGGGCACUGGCAAGCUGGAGAAGUGUGCUCUUCACAGAUGAAUCCCGGUUUCAACUGUAUUGGGCAGAUGGCAGACAGCGUGUAUGGCGUUGUGUGGGCGAGCGGUUUGCUGAUGUCAAUGUUGUGAACAGAGUUCCCCAUUGUGGCGGUGGGGUUAUGGUAUGUGCAGGCAUAUGCUACGGACAACGAACACAAUGUCAUUUUAUCGAUGGCAAUUUGAACGUACAGAGAUAACGUGACGAGAUCCUGAGUCCCAUUGUCGUGCUAUUCAUCCGCCAAACGCACUGUCCCUUGUUACAAGCAUUUGUACACAAUACGUCUAAGAGCUGAAAAUGGCCUGCAUAUUCAGACAUGUCACCCAUUGAGCAUGUUUGGGAUGUUCUGGAUCGACAGCGUGUUCCAGUUUCCACCAAUAUCCAACAACUUCAGCUUCUCUCCUAUCACAGCCAUUAUACUCUGUUUUAAAGUCACCAUUGGCCUCAUGCUGAAAUCCCUGAGUUGGUUUCCUUCCUCUCUGGCAACAGUCAGGAAGGACACAUGUAUCUGAGUAGUGACUAAGUGUAUUGAUACACCAUCCAAAGUGUAAUGAAAAACAUCAGCAUGCUCAAAGGGAUAUUCAAUGUCUGCUUUAAUUUUAUUACCCAUCUACCAAUAUGUUCCUUUUUUUGCAAGGAAUUGGUGAUUGAAACAGUUUGAAAUUCACAGCUUGACUGAGGGACCUUACAGAUCAUUUUUAUGUGAGGGGUACAGAGAUGAUGUCCAUGCAGCUUACUCUGACUUGUUUCUGAACUUAUUUAGGUUUGCCAUAUUGCUUAUUUACUCAAGAUAUUUCAGUGUUAAGUCAUUUGUAAACAUUUCAAAAACCAUAAUUCCCAUUUUAAAUGAUGGGGUUUAUGUGUAUGCCAGUGAAAAGAAAGCUACAUUGUAUCCAUUUUAAAUUCAGGCUGUAACAACAAAAUGUGGAAAAAGUUAAGAGAUGUGAAUACUGAAAGCAACUGUAUGGAGGAAACAGGCAAUCACUUUUUUAAACAGCCUGCUUGAGAUUCAAGCUUGAGGUGGGGUUUUUAUAUAAUUUAUGCUUUUGGCCACCAACACAAGUAAAGGACAAGUCAACAACAUUAUUUGGCUACGAGUUAACAGAUUAUGAACUUUUAAGUGAGAUUUUCACUGGACAGUUACUUAUUUAGAGCUCAGAGUUAGAAUGACUAGUCUAUAGGCCUACAUUAGUCAAGGAAACACCAAUCAGAAGGAUAUUCCAAUUUAGCAGCAUUUUAGUGGGUGUUCUGUCAAGAGAAAUGAGUCAUUAGGCCAGUGUUUCCCAAACUCGGUCCUGGGGAGGGGUGCACGUUUUGGUUUUUGCCCUAGCACUACACAGCCGAUUCAAAUAAUCAAAGCUUGAUGAUUACUUUAUUUGAAUCAGCUGGCAAAACCCCAAAACUUGCACCCAGUUGGGUCCCAAGGAUCGAGUUUGGGAAUAGCUGCAUAAAAGGCUCUGCAUGGUCAAUCGGACUUCUGCAGUGACCUUACAGCAUUUACUGCGAUACGGUCUCUACACAAGUUAGGGCAUUCAUACUUAUUGUGCUUCGCAGAACUGUUAUGAAGGAGGUUGUCAAGGUAGUAAGUAUGUGUUUAUACUGGACCUACCGUCAACCAAUCAGGUCAAUGCGGAGCUACAUGAAGCACUCAGCAUUGUUACAAAAUUUGAGAGGCGCACUGCGAUGCCGUACAGAACUCAAUUUGGCCUGUGUGCCUCCGGAGGCUUCGCAAAUGCAUCACACCCUCCAUACGGAGCCUCCGACCACAUACAGAUCAAGCAUCAAUUUGCUUUUAGGUUACGUGGGAUAUUUCCGCACUAGACAUGUCUCAAUGAAAAGUCCAAGAAGUGACUAAGGUGUUACUGAUUUUUCAGACCUACGCUGCAUUCAUACGCCAGUCUGAACUAGGAAACGCGGAAAUUUGACUUGCUGAUUAGUUUAACGCCACACGUACAAGUCGGAAAUGUUCGACUUCCGACUAGCAUGUGAACAAGGCACUGACGAACCAAAAUCAACCAAUGUGUUAUCUGAGAAUGCUAAUUAACGCUACACAUUAAUUACGGGACUAUUUAAUGUGCUAUUCGGAACAAGGGAACUAUAUCCAGUCUGAAAUGUCAGUUCCUAGUUCCGACGAGGUCAUUAAUACCGCAACUGACAGCGAAGGUCAUCUUUUACCGCCACCACUGCUCGUCUUUCACAUCUCUCUCAAAGUCUACCUCGGAACCACAAGGAGCAACUCAGCGCAGCAGGAAUGUUCAUUCAUACCAUUGAGAAUAUUCCAAUAGGGGCAGCGCACACCGUAUGGUCCAAAUUGCUUGUUGGAAUUUGCGUUUUACAAAUUCAGGCUAUCCCCAUUUGUCUUUAGGCUUUCUACAAAUAACUUUCGCUUGUAUUGGCAUGUCAUAUAUAUUAAGCACUAAAUUAAGCGCUAAACUAAAUUAAGCAACAACUGUGAAAUUAAUUCUGAUGAGGGUGACAAUUUGAUCCAUUGCGAAGAGAAUGUUCAGAUAAACGUUAAAUGUUUGGAAAUAUUCCUUGCAAAUAGAACAGAUUAAUCAUUACACAAAUUGACCUCCGUCAUUUGGACUUGUUUGAAAGAUGAUCCAAGCAGUUAACAUAGUCCCACCCACUAGUAACUAUAUCGAAAUGGAUAUGUUGCAAAUUAAUUAAUGCCGCGAGCAAGAGACGAGGCGAGAACUGUGUCGCUGCAAUUCAGAAAGUAAACAUUUGGAUAUGCCUAAAUAGGAAAUUGAAUACAACAAUCGCUUACACGUUUGAGAUGAAAACUGCAGUGAAUUAAAUCCAGCACAAAUUGAAGGAAGUAUUACUCCAUGGCUUGCUGUGUGAAUGAAUGCUGAAGCUGGGAUGCCUUUUGGUCCAAUGACUCGCGAGUAAAAAGAGGAAAUGGCACUCAACCGGCAGUGACGUGGUAAAAAACGUAGACAAUUCCAGGUGGUACGGCGAAAUAUUGAAAUAAUUUAAGAACUGGAGACUGCGUGCAACAUAUCCGACCGUUGUUUUCAAGCUGCCAAACAUCACCCGCCUACCUACUACAGAGGAGGAGGAGACAACAGACCAGGUGCCUGGUGAAGAUCUCUGGGCUUGUCUAAGUAACUGACUGACACGGCUCCCUCUCUGUGCCAUCGAAGCUCCCUCCUCGUAAACUACUGCCCAGCCUUCCUGAACUGCCUGUCUGAACAACACAUUAUCUGUGGAAGACCAAGACCAUUUGUUUGUUUUUACAGGGUCUUUGAGAUUCUCUUGAAUGAAAAGCGCAGAAUAAAAUAAAUGUAUUACUAUUAGCGCACAGGGAGCAGCGCAACCAGCGGCGACGUCAUCCAAAAACAUGACAUUGUUUGGAUGAAUAUAAAAUGUUAAUAUCUUCGUUGUGAGUGAUACAUUUUUUUUUUGGUCCUCAGCGUCAAUUAUUUGAAUAAUUGAAUGGGUGUUUUGUGCACUAAGUCAUGACUAAAGUGUGUUAUUAGGACUUUUAAAAUCUGACUUCUCUAGGGCUCCCCUCUAAGGCAUUGCAUCUGUGCUAGAGGCGUCACUACAGACACCCUGGUUUGAAUACAGGCUGUAUCGCAACCAGCUGUGAUUGGGAGUCCCAUAUGGUGGUGCACAAUUGGCCCAAGCGUCGUCCGGAUUUGGCCGGUAUAGGCCGCCAUUGUAAAUAUGAAUUUGUUCUGAACUGACUUGCCUAGUUAAAUAAUAAACAAAUGUGGCCAUCUACAGUA